rnacentral:lncRNA from 1 species
AUGUCAUCAGGACCAUUUCCUAUUAUGUUUCCUAAUGCUGGAGUGAGCGGGAGGCAUCGCAAAGGGAGAGCAAAGGGCCAGGGGGACUGGCAGAGGAUUGAUUCGUUCCCUGAAGCCCUCCUGUGCGAGGCACCGUGUGUGAAUUAUGGCAAUCCCAAUUUCACGAGAUCCUGCAGAGCCAUUCAUUGUGCCAGCACUGCCGGAUCCUCCCGUGAAGCCAAAGGGACGUCCGGGGGCCCAGGUGCGAGAGGAAAGAUGCGUGUCAGCCUUGUGCUUAAAGUAUAAUGGGAAAUCAGCAGCCUGUAUGCCUUCAGAGACAUGAGUCCUCACCCUCCCAGAUAUGAUGAAAACAGGGAAGGAAGGGAUUCCCAGCCUGCCCUCCCAGAGACGUCCAGCAAUUUAUGCACUUCUUUCAUGUCACCUCUCCUCCCAGCCAGCUGUGAAUCCCCUAAGGCAGGAGGAAGCCUCCCUCUAUUUUCUGAUCCAAAAUCCUUUCAAAACACGGGCAGAAAAAAGCCACCUUUCUCAUUAGGGAUAUGAAGGCUGGCAAGAGCCAGAGGAAAUAUUGGAAGUGUGCUCCAGCAGAAGGGCUGGUGGCUCCAGGGGGAGUCCUGCAGGAGCAGCGCGGCUUCACGGGGGCAUGUAGGGUCCGACUGCAUUCGUCACGGAGGAAGAUGAAGGCUUUCCUUUCAACAUUUCCAUUGGGAAGAGGGAGGAGUGAGGGGGAAGCUGCAUUCAGACUUUGUCAUCCCAUUUUGUUUUGACUUCUGUGCUAAACCGAGUCAAAACAGGAUGAAGCAAGACACUGUGAAGUAAAAAUCGUUAUUUUUUAAAAAAUCUCGAUAUGCUGAAAUUAAAACAAUAAAAUAUCUGUGAUAGAUUUCA